rnacentral:rRNA from 1 species
UGGGUAACCUGCCUCGAUGACCGGGGCAACCCGAGGAAAACCCGGGCUAAUACCGGAUGUGCUACUUCACAUCAGUGAAGACAGGAAAGGAAGCUUCAGCCUCCGCAUCGAGAUGGGCCCGCGGCCCAUUAGCUUGUUGGUGAGGUAACGGCUCACCAAGGCUGCGAUGGGUAGCUGGUCUGAGAGGACGAUCAGCCACACGUGGGACUGAGACACCGGCCCAGAUCCGUACGGG